rnacentral:rRNA from 1 species
UGGGGAAUAUUGGACAAUGGGCGAAAGCCUGAUCCAGCCAUGCCGCGUGAGUGACGAAGGCCUUAGGGUUGUAAAACUCUUUCGUCGGGGACGAUAAUGACGGUACCCGAAGAAGAAGCUCCGGCUAACUUCGUGCCAGCAGCCGCGGUAAUACGAAGGGAGCUAGCGUUGUUCGGAAUCACUGGGCGUAAAGCGCACGUAGGCGGAUAGUUAAGUCAGGGGUGAAAUCCUGGGGCUCAACCCCAGAACUGCCUUUGAUACUGGCUGUCUCGAGGUCGAGAGAGGUUGGUGGAAUUCCUAGUGUAGAGGUGAAAUUCGUAGAUAUUAGGAAGAACACCAGUGGCGAAGGCGGCCAACUGGCUCGAUACUGACGCUGAGGUGCGAAAGCGUGGGGAGCAAACAGGAUUAGAUACCCAGGUAGUCCCUGAGCGGGCUGGCAAGGCGCAU